rnacentral:lncRNA from 1 species
CCUAGACUCAUGCCAGGCUCUUCCACAGAUGGCGCUCAAGAUCCAGGAGGCCCAGUGUCUGCAGCAACAGUGACACCAGCUUCUGUCCCACUUGUGGCAGCAUGCAGAGGUCUGGUGUCAGCUGACCUCUCAGAAAGACACACAGCUCAAGUUCUGUUUCAUACAACAGCUCAUGGUGCAGCUGCUGUGUGAGGAGAAUCAGGCAAGAGGAGACCCAGGUAAUGGAGCUGUCCAGGUUCCUGCAUGGAGGACUCGGCUACCUCCAUGCCUUCUCCAUGUUCUCAUCCUACCCACCACAGCGUCUGGAAGCCACCAAGCAGCAGAAGCAGCAGUCAUCCCCGCUGAGCCUCCUCGUUCUGCGUUGGCAAGGCAACAUUAUUAAUGAAGAUUUCACCAGUGCCCAGGAAGCACUCACUUGACAGCAUCAGCAGCUGAGGGAACAGAAGCAGCCAUGCCAGUGCCUGGCUUGCCUGGCAACCCUGACCCAGGGUGAGCCUGAGGAGGUGCUGGCUCCAGCAGAGAGGAUGACUGCCUGUCUGGGCAAAGCCACCAGGCUCGAAAGCAGGCCAUGGCA